GAUUAAAUUGAUAACAAGUCGGUGCAAAGUAAUAGAGAGAAGUCAUUGUUUUAAUAGCGAUAUACGUCAUAAUAGGAGAUGUACUUUCCAAAUCAAACGUUAAUAUAAAACGAGGACCGUCAGUGUUAGUGGAGAAAUUUUCACUAUGCCAAGGAAGCAAUUAUGCAGAUAUCUACGAGAGAUGCAAUCCCGAUCAUUAUAUUGCAGUAUGCAGAUACCUUGACGGAAGAAAUAAACCAAAAGUAGCUAAAUGCUUAUAUGCAAAAUCUUUAAAAGCGUUCGAAUGUCCACCGGAAAUCGAACUUAAAUCGGAUAUAAAGUGUUGCGAUUUUGAUUGCGACGACAUUUUUUUUAAAAAGAAAAUAAAAGGAAACAAGUAGUUUGUAUUUCUGAGCAAUAAAAAAAUAAUGUAUAUGCACA